AUUGAACGCUGGCGGCAUGCCUUACACAUGCAAGUCGAACGGCAGCACGGGAGCAAUCCUGGUGGCGAGUGGCGAACGGGUGAGUAAUAUAUCGGAACGUGCCCAGUCGUGGGGAUAACGUAGCGAAAGCUACGCUAAUACCGCAUACGAUCUAUGGAUGAAAGCGGGGGAUCGCAAGACCUCGCGCGAUUGGAGCGGCCGAUAUCAGAUUAGGUAGUUGGUGAGGUAAAGGCUCACCAAGCCGACGAUCUGUAGCUGGUCUGAGAGGACGACCAGCCACACUGGGACUGAGACACGGCCCAGACUCCUACGGAGGCAGCAGUGGGGAAUUUUUGGACAAUGGGCGCAAGCCUGAUCCAGCAAUGCCGCGUGCAGGAUGAAGGCCUUCGGUUGUAACUAGCUUUGUACGGUAACGAAACGGUAGUAAGGCG
rnacentral:rRNA from 1 species